CUGUCAGGAGGGGAUAAAGCGUAUCGGCCAAUACCCGAUGCGUCUGAAGGUACCUCCAAAGGAAGCUCCGGCUAACUCCGUGCCAGCAGCCGCGGUAAUACGGAGGGAGCAAACGUUGUUCGGAUUUACUGGGUGUAAAGGGUGCGUAGGCGGCUACGUGUGUCAGAGGUGAAAGCUCACGGCUCAACCGUGGAACUGCCUUUGGAACUGCGUAGCUUGAGUCCGAGAGAGGAUGGUGGAAUUCCUGGUGUAACGGUGAAAUGUGCAGAUAUCAGGAAGAACACCGGUGGCGAAGGCGGCCAUCUGGCUCGGUACUGACGCUGAGGCACGAAAGCUAGGGUAUCGAACGGGAUUAGAUACCCCGGUAGUCCUAGCCGUAAACGAUGUCCACUAGGUGUCGGAGGUCCUACCCCUUCGGUGCCGGAGCUAACGCAUUAAGUGGACCACCUGGGGAGUACGCUCGCAAGGGUGAAACUCAAAGGAAUUGACGGGGGCCCGCACAAGCGGUGGAGCAUGUGGUUUAAUUCGAUGCAACGCGAAGAACCUUACCUGGGCUUGACAUGCAGGGGACAGGUGUAGAGAUACACCCUUCUUCGGACUCCUGUACAGGUGCUGCAUGGCUGUCGUCAGCUCGUGUCGUGAAAUGUUGGGUUAAGUCCCGCAACGAGCGCAACCCUUGUCCUUAGUUGCCAGCACGUCAUGGUGGGAACUCUAGGGAGACUGCCGGUGACAAACCGGAGGAAGGUGGGGACGACGUCAAGUCAUCAUGGCCCUUACGUCCAGGGCUACACACGUGCUACAAUGGCACAUACAGAGGGCAGCGAACCCGCGAGGGGAAGCCAAUCCACAAAAAGUGUGCCUCAGUUCGGAUCGCAGUCUGCAUCUCGACUGCGUGAAGUCGGAAUCGCUAGUAAUCGCGGAUCAGCAUGCCGCGGUGAAUCCGUUCCCGGGCCUUGUACACACCG
rnacentral:rRNA from 1 species